CUGUCGCUGAGGCUGGCAUCUCCGAGCCCCCGCGCGGGGGGCUGCCGCCCGAGCGCUGAUUGACAGGCUGCCUCGCCAAUGCCUGGAGGGAGAAAGGAGGGACUCCAAGAGAAUACCUGACUCCCUCAUGUCUCCCCAUUGUACAGAUGAGAAAACUGAGGCUCUCCGAGGUUGAAGGGAAUUGGCCAAAGUCAGAUUCUCAGGAGUGGACGACAGAGUUGAAUUGAUGAAUUGAGCUCAUUUGAAUUCAAAUGCUUACUUCUUAUAGCAAGUACACUGUAUAAUUGAGGGAGUAAAAUGACACCUCCCUUUGGGGUGUUGAGUAAUUUUAAAAUGUUACAUAUAUUUUGUACAUGUGAUAUACAUGUAUGUGUGUGUGUGUAUAUCUAUCUAUCUAUCUAUCUAUCUAUCUAUCUAUCUAUCUAUCUAUCUAUAUAGAUCUAUCUAUCUAUCUAUUUAUCUCACACUUGCAGGACUGAGACUGUCCAAGGGUUCUCACUCCCUGAAUUGCCCAGUAAAUUACUCACUGCAGCUGGUGCCACCAGGCCAGUUUCUGGAGAAUACACAAUUGCAGUAGUUUAGAGAAGAUCUCAAUGGUUCGAGUACAAACCUCAUGGGGUACAGAUGUCUUAAAAUAUAGAGGACAUCCUGGGCUCCUCUCAGUCACUUUUUCAGCAGAGCCCAUUCUCCCUGACUCAAAUUACCCUUCCUUCAGGCCGACUUCAAUACCAGCAUCCCUGCUCAGGGAUUGGGUUCCAGCCUUCAUUCUUCACUAUCCAGGUCAGAGUUCAGGGUGCUCCUUGAUGUAUAACCCUCAUCUCCCCGGUCUGGAGCUAGUUUCUUUUUCAGAGCUUUCCUUUUAGAAAAAGAGAAGGUAUCCCAUUUUCUUCUUCCGGGGUCCGGUUCAUUUGGUUCUCAUUUCCCUGAUCUCCCUUCCUUUGGAAGCAUUCUCUUUCUUCUUUGCUGGUUCAGCUUCUGUGCUCCUCCACCCUAGAUUGUCUCCCUCUCUGCUGUGGGCUCCUCAGAUGGUGCUGGCCCCCCUCCAUUUAUUAGAGAUGAAAUAAAUAAUGCCAUAAAUAAAAGUAUUUGGGAAUCCA